GACGAACGCUGGCGGCGUGCUUAACACAUGCAAGUCGAACGGAAAGGCCCUGCUUGCAGGGUGCUCGAGUGGCGAACGGGUGAGUAACACGUGGGUGAUCUGCCCCUUAUUUUGGGAUAAGCCUGGGAAACUGGGUCUAAUACUGGAUAGGACCAUGCUGUAGGUGGUGUGGUGGAAAGAUUAGUUUCGGUAAGGGAUGAGCUCGCGGCCUAUCAGCUUGUUGGUGGGUAAUGGCCUACCAAGGCGUCGACGGGUAGCCGGCCUGAGAGGGUGGACGGCCACAUUGGGACUGAGAUACGGCCCAGACUCCUACGGGAGGCAGCAGUGGGGAAUAUUGCACAAUGGGCGCAAGCCUGAUGCAGCGACGCCGCGUGGGGGAUGACGGCCUUCGGGUUGUAAACUCCUUUCAGCCAUGACGAAGCCCUUGUGGUGACGGUAGUGGUAGAAGAAGCACCGGCUAACUACGUG
rnacentral:rRNA from 1 species